rnacentral:rRNA from 1 species
UACGUAGGGUGCGAGCGUUGUUCGGAGUUAUUGGGCGUAAAGGGCGUGUAGGCGGCUUGAAAAGUCUGGUUUGAAAUGCACUGGCUCAACUGGUGCGCUGGAUCAGAAACUGGCAGGCUUGAGUUCAUAGGGAGGAGCUGGAAUUCCAGGUGUAGGGGUGAAAUCUGUAGAGAUCUGGAAGAACACCGGUAGCGAAGGCGGGCUCCUAUGGAUGGACUGACGCUGAGGCGCGAAAGCGUGGGGAGCAAACAGGAUUAGAUACCCUGGUAGUCCACGCUGUAAACGAUGUGCACUAGGUAUGGGGUACGAGAUGUAUUCCGUGUCGGAGCGAACGCGUUAAGUGCACCGCCUGGGGAGUAUGCUCGCAAGGGUG